AAUUGACGGGACCCGCACAAGCGGUGGAUGAUGUGGUUUAAUUCGAUGCAACGCGAAAAACCUUUACCCACCUUUGACAUGUACGGAAUCCUUUUAGAGAUUUGGGAGUGCUCGCAAGAGAGCCGGAACACAGGUGCUGCAUGGCUGUCGUCAGCUCGUGUCGUGAGAUGUUGGGUUAAGUCCCGCAACGAGCGCAACCCUUGUCAUUAGUUGCCAUCAUUUGGUUGGGCACUCUAAUGAGACUGCCGGUGACAAACCGGAGGAAGGUGGGGAUGACGUCAAGUCCUCAUGGCCCUUAUGGGUAGGGCUUCACACGUCAUACAAUGGUCGGUACAGAGGGUUGCCAACCCGCGAGGCGGAGCCAAUCCCACAAAGCCGAUCGUAGUCCGGAUUGUUCUCUGCAACUCGAGAGCAUGAAGUCGGAAUCGCUAGUAAUCGCAGGUCAGCAUACUGCGGUGAAUACGUUCCCGGGUCUU
rnacentral:rRNA from 1 species